ACGGGAUGGGACGGGCCAGGGGAGCAGGGGCUGGCGGGGGGCGCUCCCUGGCCGGGGGCUGCAGGCGCUCCCGCCCUGACUCCAGGCGUCUGCAGACAAUUUGCUCCCAGCCAUUAGCAGCAGAUCACCAGAACAGCAAAAAGAUUCACAGUUGUCUGAGUCACCCUGGCUAUAGCAGAUUCACUGUUUCUUCAGUCCCAGUUUCUUCUGGGCCUUAAAACAUCAGAGAAAGGGUCUUUUGCUCCAACAAAUCAUGUGAUGAUCAGAAUUUGGGGAUAAUCGAAGGAAGAAUAGCUGCCCUUCACUUUUGUGCCAUUAGCAGCUUUAUCAACUGUAAAUAUCCUUGAAAAGUUAAAUGGAGGUAGAAAUAAAACACCACAAAAAAAAAAAAGAAAAGAAGUCAGUUCAGUAGUUUCUCAUAUUUAGGGCAUUUGCUUGGUAUACAAUAGUUUCUAGUUUUGAUAAAAUGCUGUGGUUUUAAAUAUCAGAUUUAUCAUUGUGAUUGCAGAAACUGUACUUUGUUAAAAAUAAUGUGAGGAAUGAUUGAAAAAAGAUCAAAUCACAUUAUUAUGAGCUGUAGUUCUAUUCAGCAGGUAUGAAAGCUCUAGUAGUUGUAGCUCUUCUUGCUUGCCCACACAUGGUUGCUAUGCAUAAUGUUCCAAAACACAAAUGCACAAACCUGCUGGCAAGAGUCAGUAAAAAGAGGAGAAUUGUGGUUUUAGAUGUCCUUCUUAGAUGAGAGGACCUGCUUCUUUUAGGUCUCUCUGUCUCUGCCUAUGUCAGAAGAGUUGUGCCAUCCUAUCUGUGUCUUCUUGGAAGGGCAAUAUGUCCUACUUCCACUUAAAGGUUGAGGGUUUGGCAAGGAACGUCCUGAUCUUCCAAGAGUGAACAAACAUUGUGCAAGAUUUCAUUACAGAGAUCCCAAGUUGCCAGCCUAAAAUGCUUUACCAGGCAAUCACUAUUUCCUGGGUAUGCUUAUGAACCACAAGGAGCUUGAUACUUACGCAGCUUGCAGUAUGCUACGCAUAUCAAAAUCAGCUACAAGAUGGAAGAAGUGUUUAUGGAAGAAAAGGUUGGUAUACACUGACACAUUUUGAUGGGUCACUAGCCUAAAGAAGCCAAAGCAAAGAUUAAGCUGAGAAUAUGAGCUUUGGUUUGUGGUCUUGUGUGCUGAGGAACCAGCUGUGCCAGCUGUCUUUCAGAAAGUGUUCUUGUUGUUUUCCAUACCCAUGAACUGCACUGGAGAAGAAAACUGUGAAAAGAAAAAUUAGACUCACAAAAUCAAGCCCUUGAAUCUGGGUAAAUUAAGCAAUAGGAUUAAGGUUUUUCUCUGCCUCUUAAUUGAGCCCCCCCCCACCAUGCUCCCCAAGCUCAGUUCCCAUGGCCAGGUUCAGUGACACAUCUCAUACCUAUAGACAAGUACAUAAUAUAAAACAUGGACAGAUAUUCUUCUGCUGGAACCUUGCCUUCUUUCAGUGAAGGGGCAGCUACUCAAUACUUAUGUUUAUCCUACUCAUUCAGCAUGAGAUCUCGGGUGUCAUUUGCUGCAUGCUAUUUAAACCCUACAAGCAAAAGAGAACUUUUCUUUUUCUUGGGCUUUUAUCUGGUUUCUACAUCAUAAUAUGUUUCCUGUUUUGGUUUUCUUUUU